rnacentral:lncRNA from 1 species
UACGUCUCCUACAAGCUGGGCGAGCGUCUCCUGGACAACUGACGUACGGCUGGAUACUAUUGCAGCUUGUCACUCGGAGCUACUAUUAAUUAUGUGGUGCUUAAUCGUAUUCGGUAACCUACCUUAAUCGUAUUCUGCAACUUCUGUUUUGGACUUUGCCAGUGUGGUGCUGCAAACUUGGAGUAAGCAUGUUCUAUUGUGUUGGUCGUUUACUUGUAUUCUCGACAGUUCAUGCAAUGUGGCCGGGCGGAUUGAGAUGUUUAAUUGUAGUACUUCUGAGAUCAGAGCACUUUGCUUCUGAGUUUCUGUUUGUUUUUCACUCACCAACAUGCAUCAAAAUGCAUGUCGUCUGGUAUUAGAAGAACGCCAAGAAGACACGAAAUCAUAUACAAAACCAACGGAAACAAAUGAAAAUACAAAACGCUAAGAGACCCAAAACCAAAACAAGCAAAAGCGAAAGAAGAGAGGAUAUAAACCGCUAAAAGAACAAAAACUAGUGAUCAGGGGGCCAAUAGUAUUUUAAAUUUCUCCAUUGCAUGGACUGAUGCUGCAAAACUAUUCAGUGUCAGCAUAAUAUUAGGCCUGAACAUCGAACUCAUUUUUCUAGUUGGCAAGUUCUCUGGUUGGUUAUGAACAAAAAUUGUUUGAAACACUUCUUCAAUUUUCAUGCAUUUUGUUAUGAAUUUAAUCUUUUGAUUGCGCUUGAGAAAUAACUUCGUCCAAUUAGAUUUAAGGAUUUUUGUGAUUACAAAAGUAAGGAUAAGACCUUAUGCCUAUGAGCAACUAGCUAGACUAAAAACACAUUUUUCUCUAAGCUGACUAAGGCCCUGUUUGUUUGGGUUUUUGCUUUUGCUUUUACAGCUUUUCCACUUUGGCAAAAAAGCCACAAAAGGCUUUUGCUUUGGCUUUUGGUUUAUGAAUCAAUAUUGUUAUAUGAUGGUAUAAGCCAAGAGCCGAAGCAAAAAGCACCUAUUUAGGAACUUUUUGGCUUUUUUGUCAAAAUGAAAAAGUUGCAAAAGCAUAAGCAAAAGCCCAAACAAACAUGGCCUUCACUCCAAACAAUGUUGCUCCCUAGCUACCUCCUUAAAGAGCUAGUGAGACCACUGUACAAUAGGUCGACACAGUACAAAGACGUGUAUGUGGAACCCAACUAUUUAAGGGGUUAUAGCAAGUGUUGCUUUGUAAAACCGUUUGAAAUACUUUCUCGUAGGCUACUGAUAAGAGUUGACAAAGAACCUUUCACUAUCGCAAGUGGUUAUUACUGAAGGCUGGCCGUGAAAACUUCAUAAUCGUCUUGAGCCGAGAGUUGUUUGCUCUAAUCGAGCUAAAGCAAGUGGUUUUUCUAUCCAAACACCAAUGAUUUCCCCCUCAUGCUUAUAUUUUGGCCAAGUCUUGGGUCACAACCAAGUCUUCCCUUCUCCUUCACAUUAGUAAUAACCAAGUCUUGGAGCUAUUUCUUUCCUAACCCUAGUUGUAGCUUGACCUGACGUCCUUGUCUCUAUCAACGUCGCAAAAGGUGACAUUGGCUCCUUUACUGUUGUUUCACAUGAAGGCUAGUCAGAGUCCGCUCACAUGAGAUGGUUCAUUGUGCGGGUCGAGGGAGGAUCCGGAGAAGGCAUGUGGUGACUCGUUGGGAGGGAUUCCGAGAAGGUUCGUGGAGGCGCUUUGCGGAGGAUUCUCCAUCAAUGGUUUUGGUUAUCUGAUUAACUUAUAUGAGAUGGGUUUCUAAACUUAGGAUUAACACCACCACCGAGUGUGCUUGAUUGUUAAAUAAGACUUACUUUGUGGUUGCUGAUAUUCAAUUGUUUGGAUUUAUUUUACAAUUUUUUGCUGAGAAAUGUUCAUGAAAAUGGAAAAUGUGUUGAUUACCAAACAAUAAAAAAUAGGAAAAAUUCGAUUAAGCAAACGAUGUCACAAUCCACACACACUGACAUUGCCACAACUAACCUUACUUAUACUACAAUUGACAUAUGAAUAUGAUGUGUCAUGAACAAAAUGACCACAAUUGGUGGUAGACUUGGGGGAAAGAACUGUCUCAUUGUAUGAACAUAUGAAAAUAAAAAUAUGGCAAGUCAAAGCUCUAAUAAUACCAAACACAUGUUUAUGAAAAUGUGUGACACAACUAAGACUAGAUGUAGCAAUUUUGGAUUAUCAACUAAACGUUUGAAAGUGUACUCACACCAAUAUAACUUGAAUUUUCAUAUCGGUAUUUUCACACCAAAAGCAUGCGAUAUCAUAGAUUUUGACUUAUGGCAGAUAUACCGACUUGAUUGGUAGUUGUACUACUUACAUGCUCGAAUUUGAAAAACAUGUAUACAAUGGGAUUCUUUGUUCCAGUUGAACUUGGGAUGUCCCCCAAAAAAUAUGAUAUGGACUUAGUGAACUUUUUAGGUGAAACAGUAGGGUAAAACCCCACUGACACAAACAAAGUAUAUGCAACUAGGCUUGAGAUAAGCCUGGAAUCAAAAGAGCAAAGAACAUAAAAAGAAGAAAGAACACAAAAAAAUAAUACAAACUCUCAUUAAUCCAUGUUAUAGAAGUGUUGGCAUACUUCCUUUGAUUAUACCCCAACAAAGAAAUUCCCGCAGAUAAAUUCUUUUCAAGCUGAGAAAUGUAGGACCUUCAAUCAUGGACAUCCUAUUUUGUGGAUACCCAAAUGGACCAAGAAGCAAUGAUGAAUUCCAUAAAGAAAGGCACAUCUAUCUUAUUUUUCAUGGUAGUGAAAGCCUCCAUGAAUGACAAAUUAGGUUCCCUUUGUCGCCACACAAAAUAACAACACUUUGAGCAAAAAGAACAAUGUAGGCAAGGGCGGAUCUAGCAAUAUGGCUAGCUCUGGCGUCCUCCACACCUAAAAUUUGUUGCAGCUACAUGUAAUAGAUACCAUAUAUUUGAAGAUUUGUGCUGAGUUGCCAUUACUGUAGAUGGGUGAAGGUUCGUUCAGAUUUAUAAAGGAGUAAGAAGAAGACUUGAUGGGGAAGUGAACCAUUCAGCCACUCAUUUAUGUGCAGUGGGCCUGGGCCUGGCUAGUAACAAAAUUCCUCACCAGAGGAUCUAUUUUUUGCGGAACUUUUCUUCUUUUGCGGAACAGAGAAUCUAUAUUAACCAAGCAUCCCAACCAAGCAAAAGGGAUAAGGUUUCUCAAUUCUGAGUUCGGGUGCUUAAUGAUUGAAUGCACGACUAUUCCUUUUCCAAUUCCGUUUGAUUGUUGUGUAUGCGUCUUCUCCCCAUAGUGAGUUUUAACCCUAAAAAGUGAGGUAUUUUUAGUGUUCUCUUAAUUUUUCUUUGACACGUUUGCAUCUGGAUGGUACGUCAUGAUACUAUUUAAUGUCAUACUCCCUCCGAUCCAAAAUAAGUGUCGCAGUUAGUUCAAAACUAUGACACUUAUUUGUUGGAAAUAUGCCCUAGAGGCAAUAAUAAAUAGGUUAUUAUUAUAUUUCCUUGUUCAUGAUAAUCGUUUAUUAUCCAUGCUAGAAUUGUAUUGAUAGGAAACUCAAAUACAUGUGUGGAUACAUAGACAACACCAUGUCCCUAGUAAGCCUCUAGUUGACUAGCUCGUUGAUCAAUAGAUGGUUACGGUUUCCUAACCAUGGACAUUGGAUGUCGUUGAUAACGGGAUCACAUCAUUAGGAGAAUGAUGUGAUGGACAAGACCCAAUCCUAAGCCUACCACAAGAUCGUGUAGUUCGUUUGCUCAGAGCUUUUCUAAUGUCAAGUAUCAGUUCCUUAGACCAUGAGAUUGUGCAACUCCCGGAUACCGUAGGAAUGCUUUGGGUGUACCAAACGUCACAACGUAACUGGGUGACUAUAAAGGUGCACUACAGGUAUCUCCGAAAGUGUCUGUUGGGUUGGCACGAAUCGAGACUGGGAUUUGUCACUCCGUGUAAACGGAGAGGUAUCUCUGGGCCCACUCGGUAGGACAUCAUCAUAAUGUGCACAAUGUGACCAAGGAGUUGAUCACGGGAUGAUGUGAGUUACGGAACGAGUAAAGAGACUUGCCGGUAACGAGAUUGAACAAGGUAUCGGGAUACCGACGAUCGAAUCUCGGGCAAGUAGCAUACCGAUAGACAAAGGCAAUUGCAUACGGGAUUGAUUGAAUCCCCGACAUCGUGGUUCAUCCGAUGAGAUCAUCGUGGAACAUGUGGGAGCCAACAUGGGUAUCCAGAUCCCGCUGUUGGUUAUUGACCGGAGAACGUCUCGGUCAUGUCUGCAUGGUCCCGAACCCGUAGGGUCUACACGCUUAAGGUUCGAUGACGCUAGGGUUAUAGGGAAAGCAUGUACGUGGUUACCGAAUGUUGUUCGGAGUCCUGGAUGAGAUCCCGGACGUCACGAGGAGUUCCAGAAUGGUCCGGAGGUAAAGAUUUAUAUAUGGAAAGUUGUUGUUCGGGUUCCGGGAAAAGUUUGGGUUUUUUUUCGGUAUUGUACCGGGAAGCUUCCAGAAGGUUCCGGAGGAUUCCGGAGGUCCGGAAAAUGUUCCACCACGUCCAAUACAGCAGCAUGGCUGUAAGGGGGCGCCCUAGCCUUAAUGGGCCAGGGGCACCAGCCCCCCCAAGGCCCAUGCGCAUGGGAGAGGGGAAACCCUAAGGGGGAGGGCCUCCACUUGACUUGGGAGGCACUCCUCCCCCCUUUGGCCGCCGCCCCCAACCCUAGAUGAGAUCUAAGGGGGCCGGCCCCCCUCUCCCCCACCUAUAAAUAGUGGAGGGGUGGGAGGGCAGCCACCACCCAAGUUCUGGCGCAGCCCUUCCCCUCUCCCAAGUCCUCCUCCUCUCCCGCAGUGCUUGGCGAAGCCCUGCGGGAUUGCCACGCUCCUCCACCACCACCACGCCGUCGUGCUGCUGCUGGACGGAGUCUUCCCCAACCUCUCCCUCUCUCCUUGCUGGAUCAAGGCGUGGGAGACGUCACCGGGCUGCACGUGUGUUGAACGCGGAGGCACCGUUCUUCGGUGCUUAGAUCGGAAUCAACCGCGAUCUGAAUCGCUACGAGUACGACUCCCUCAUCCGCGUUCUUGCAACGCUUCCGCAUCGCGAUCUACAAGGGUAUGUAGAUGCACUCUCCUUCCCCUCGUUGCUAGAUUACUCCAUAGAUUGAUCUUGGUGAUGCGUAGAAAAUUUUGAAUUUCUGCUACGUUCCCCAACAGUGGCAUCAUGAGCUAGGUCUAUGCGUAGUUUCUAUGCACGAGUAGAACACAAAGUAGUUGUGGGCGUCGAUGUUGUCAAUUCUUCUUGCUGCUACUAGUCUUAUCUUGUUUCGGCGGCAUUGUGGGAUGAAGCGGCCCGGACCGACCUUACACGUACGCUUACGUGAGACAGGUUCCACCGACUGACAUGCACUAGUUGCAUAAGGUGGCUAGCGGGUGUCUGUCUCUCCCACUUUAGUCGGAACGGAGUCGAUGAAAAGGGUCCUUAUGAAGGGUAAAUAGAAAUUGGCAUAUCACGUUGUGGUUUUACGUAGGUAAGAAACGUUCUUGCUAGAAACCUAUACAAGCCACGUAAAAAACUUGCAACAACAAUUAGAGGACGUCUAACUUGUUUUUGCAGCAUGUGCUAUGUGAUGUGAUAUGGCCAGAAGAUAUGAUGAAUGAUAUAUGUGAUGUAUGAGAUUGAUCAUAUUCUUGUAAUAGGGAUCACGACUUGCAUGUCGAUGAGUAUGACAACCGGCAGGAGCCAUAGGAGUUGUCUUUAUUUUUUGUAUGACCUGCGUGUCAUUGAAUAACGCCAUGUAAAUUACUUUACUUUGUUGCUAAACGCGUUAGCCAUAGAAGUAGAAGUAAUCGUUGGCGUGACAACUUCAAGAAGACACAAUGAUGGAGAUCAUGGUGUCAUGCCGGUGACAAAGAUGAUCAUGGUGCCCCGAAGAUGGAGAUCAAAGGAGCAAAAUGAUGUUGGCCAUAUCAUGUCACUAUUUGAUUGCAUGUGAUGUUUAUCAUGUUAUGCAUCCUAUUUGCUUAGAACGACGGUAGUAAGUAAGAUGAUCCCUCACUAAAAUUUCAAGAGACGUGUUUCCCCUAACUGUGCACCGUUGCGAAGGUUUGUUGUUUCGAAGCACCACGUGAUGAUCGGGUGUGAUAGAUUCUAACGUUCGAAUACAACGGGUGUUGAGGAGCCUAGCAUGUACAGACAUGGCCUCGGAACACAUGCAAAACACUUAGGUUGACUUGACGAGCCUAGCAUGUACAGACAUGGCCUCGGAACACAAGAGACCGAAAGGUCGAACAUGAGUCGUAUAGCAGAUACGAUCAACAUGGAGAUGUUCACCGAUGAUGACUAGUCCGUCUCACGUGAUGAUCGGACACGGCCUAGUUUGACUCGGAUCAUGUAUCACUUAGAUGACUAGAGGGAUGUCUAUCUGAGUGGGAGUUCAAUAAUCAGAUGAACUUCAUUAUCAUGAACAUAGUCAAAAGGUCUUUGCAAAUUAUGUCAUAUCUUGCGCUUUAGUUCUACUGGUUAAGAUACGUUCCUAGAGAAAAUUUAGUUGAAAGUUGGUAGUAGCAAUUAUGCGGACUGGGUCCGUAAACUGAGGAUUGUCCUCAUUGCUGCACAGAAGGCUUAUGUCCUUAAUGCACCACUCGGUGUGUUGAACCUCAGCGUCGUCUGUAGAUGUUACGAAACAUCUGACAUACACGUUUUGAUGACUACGUGAUAGUUCAGUGCGUAAUGCUAACGGUUUAGAAUUGUGGCACAAGAGACGUUUUUGAAACGUCGCAGAACAUAUGAGAUGUUCCGAAGACUGAAAUUGGGAUUUCAGACUAGUGCCCACGUCAAGAGGUAUGAGACCUCUGACAAGUUUCUUAAGCCUGCAAACUAAGGGAGAAAAGCUCAAUCGUUGAGCAUGUGCUCAGAUUGUCUGAGUACCACAAUCGCUUGAAUCGAGUGGGAGUUAAUCUUCCAGAUGAGAUAGUGAUGAUUCUCCAUAAUCACUGCCACCAAGCUAGUAGAGCUUCGUGAUGAACUAUAACAUAUCAGGGAUAGUUAUGAUGAUCCUUGAGUUAUUCGCGAUGUUUGACACCGCGAAAGUAGAAAUCAAGAAGGAGCAUCAAUUGUUGAUGGUUAGUAAAACCACUAGUUUAAGAAGGGCAAGGGCAAAAAGGGAUACUUCAUGAAACAGCAAAUCGUUUGCUGCUCUAGUGAAGAAUCCUAAGGUUGAACCCAAACCCGAGACUAAGUGCUUCUGUAAUGAGAGGAACGGUCACUGAAGCAGUACUACCCUAGAUAUUUGGUAGAUGAGAAGGCAGGCAAGGUCGACAGAAGUAUAUUGGAUAUACGUUAUAUGAAUGUGUAUUUCACUAGUACUCCGAACAGCACCAGGGUAUUAGAUACCGGUUCGGUUGCUAAAUGUUAGUAACUCAAAAUAAAAGCUGCGGAAUAAAUGGAGACUGGCUAAAGGUGAGAUGACGAUGUGUGUUGGAAGUGUUUCCAAGGUUGAUGUGAUCAAGCAUCGCAUGCUCCCUCUACCAUCGAGAUUUGGUGUUUGCGUUGAGCAUGAUUGGAUUAUGUUUAUCGCAAUACGGUUAUUCAUUUAAGGAGAAUAAUGGUUACUCUGUUUAUUUGAAUAAUACCUUCAAUGGUCUUGCACCUAAAAUGAAUCUCGAUCGUAGUGAUACACAUGUUCAUGCCAAAAGUAAUGAUAGUACCACAUACUUGUGGCACUACUAUUUGAGUCAUAUUGGGAUAAAACGCAUGAAGAAGCUCCAUGUAGAUGGAUCUUUGGACUCACUCAUUUUUGAAAAGAUUGAGACAUGCAAACCAUGUCUAUUGGUAUAUAUGCAUGAAGAAACUCCAUGCAGAUGGAUCGUUUGGACUCACUUGAUUUUGAAUCACUUGAGACAUGCAAAUCAUACCACAUGGGCAAGAUGACUGAAAGGCCUCGUUUUCAGUAAGAUGGAACAAGAGAGCAACUUAUUGGAAGUAAUACAUUUUGAUGUAUGCAGUCCAAUGAGUGCUGAGGCAUGCAGUGGAUAUCGUUAUGUUCUUACUUCAUAGAUGAUUUGAGUAGAUGCUGAGUGUAUUUACUUGAUGAAACACAAGUCUGAAUUAUUGAAAGGUUCAAGUAAUUUCAGAGUGAAGUUGAAGAUCGUCGUGAUAAGAGGAUAAAAUGUCUGUGAUAUGAUCAUAGAGAUGAGUAUCUGAGUUACGAGUUUGUCACACAAUUAAGACACUGUGGAAAGUGUUUCAUAAGUAAUGCCGCCUGGAACACCAUAGUGUGAUGGUGUGUCCGAACAUCAUAACUGCACCCUAUUGGAUAUGGUGCAUACCAUGAUGUCUCUUAUUGAAUUACCACUAUCGUUUAUGGGUUAGGCAUUAGAGACAACCGCAUUCACUUUAAAUAGGGCACCACGCAAUUCCGUUGAGACGACACCGUUUAGAGAAACCUGAGUUGUCGUUUCUUAAAAGUUUGGGGCUGCGAUGCUUAUGUGAAAAAGUUUCAGGCUGAUAAGCUCGAACCCAAAGCGGAUAAAUGCAUCUUCAUAGAAAACCCAAAACAGUUGGGUAUACCUCCUAUUUCAGAUCUGGAAGCAAAAGUAAUUGCUUCUAGAAACGGGUCCUUUCUCGAGGAAAAAUUUCUCUCGAAAGAAUUGAGUGGGAGGAUGGUGGAGACUUGAUAAGGUUAUUGAACCGUCACCUCAACUAGUGUGUAGCAGGGCACAGGAAGUUGUUCCUGUGGCACCUAUACCAAUUGAAGUGGAAGCUUAUGAUAGUGAUCAUGAAACUUCGGAUCAAGUCACUACCAAACCUCGUAGGACGAUGAGGAUGCGUAAUACUUCAGAGUAGUACGUGAUCCUGUCUUGGAAGUCAUGUUGUUGGACAACGAUGAACCUAUGAGCUAUGGAGAAGCGAUGGUGGGCCCAUAUUCCGACAAAUGGUUAGAAGCCAUGAAAUCCGAGAUAAAUGGAUCUUUAAGAAGAGGACGAACAUGGACGGUAAGGUUACCGUCUAUGAAGCUCGACUUGUGGCAAAGAGUAUUUUCACAAGUUCAAGGAGUUAACUACGAUGAGAUUUUCUCAUCCGUAGCGAUGCUUAAGUCCGUCGGAAUCAUGUUAGCAUUAGCUGCAUUUAUGAAAUCUGGUAGAUGGAUGUCAAAACAAGUUUCCUUACUAGUUUUCGUAAGGAAAGGUUGUAUGUGAUACAAUCAGAAAGGUUUUGUCGAUCCUAAGGAUGCUAAAAGGUAUGCUAGCUCCAGCGAUCCUUCCAUGGACUAGAGCAAGCAUCUCGGAGUCAGAAUAUAAGCUUUGAUGGAGCGAUCAAAGUUUUUGGGUUUAUACAAAGUUUGUUAGAAACUUGUAUUUACAAUAACGUGAGUGGGAGCGCUACAACAUUUCUGAUAAGUAUAUGUGAAUGACAUAUUGUUGAUCCGAAAUGAUGUAAAAAUUUCUGGAAAGCAUAAAGGGUUGUUUGAAAGGAGUUUUUCAAAGGAAGACCUGGAUAAAGCUGCUUACAUAUUGGGCAUCAAGAUCUAUAGAGAUAGAUCAAGACGCCCGAUGAUACUUUCAAAGAACGCACACCUUGACAUGUUUUUGAAAGAGUUCAAAAUAGAUCAGCAAAGAAGGAGUUCUUGGCUGUGUUACAAGGUGUGAGUAUUGAGUAAGACUCAAGACCUGACCACAGCAGAAGAGAGAGAAAGGACGAAGGUCGUCCCCUAUGCUUCAGACGUAGGCUCUACAGUAUGCUAUGCUGUGUACCGCACAUGUAGUGUGCCUUGCCAUGAGUUGGUCAAGGGGUACAAUAGUGAUCCGGGAAUGGAUCACAUGACAGCGGUCGAACUUAUCCUUAGUACCUACUGGACUAAGGAAUUUUCUCGAUUAUGGAGGUGAAAAGGAGUUCGUCGUAAAGGGUUACGUCGAUACGAACUUUGACACUAAUCCGGAUGACUCUGAGUAGUAAACCGGAUUCGUAUAGUAGAGCAGAUACUUGAAAUGGCUCCAAGUAGCGUGUGGUAGCAUCCACAAGAUGACAUAGAUAUUCGUAAAGCACACACGGAUCUGAAAGGUUCAGACCCGUUGACUAAUAACCUCUCUCACAAGCAUAACAUGAUCAAACCAGAACUCAUUGAGUGUUAAUCACAUAGAGAUGUGAACUAGAUUGUUGACUCUAGUAAACUCUUUGGAUGUUGGUCACAUGGUGAUGUGACCUGUCAGUGUUAAUCACAUGGUGAUGUGGACUAGAUUAUUGACUCUAGUGCAAGUGGGAGACUAUUGGAAAUAUGCCCUAGAGGCAAUAAUAAAUAGGUUAUAAUUAUAUUUCCUUGUUCAUGAUAAUCGUUUAUUAUCCAUGCUAGAAUUGUAUUGAUAGGAAACUCAGAUACAUGUGUGGAUACAUAGACAACACCAUGUCCCUAGUAAGCCUCUAGUUGACUAGCUCGUUGAUCAAUAGAUGGUUACGGUUUCCUAACCAUGGACAUUGGAUGUCGCUGAUAACGGGAUCACAUCAUUAGGAGAAUGAUGUGAUGGACAAGACCCAAUCCUAAGCCUACCACAAGAUCGUGUAGUUCGUUUGCUCAGAGCUUUUCUAAUGUCAAGUAUCAGUUCCUUAGACCAUGAGAUUGUGCAACUCCCGGAUACCGUAGGAAUGCUUUGGGUGUACCAAACGUCACAACGUAACUGGGUGACUAUAAAGGUGCACUACAGGUAUCUCCGAAAGUGUCUGUUGGGUUGGCACGAAUCGAGACUGGGAUUUGUCACUCCGUGUAAACGGAGAGGUAUCUCUGGGCCCACUCGGUAGGACAUCAUCAUAAUGUGCACAAUGUGACCAAGGAGUUGAUCACGGGAUGAUGUGAGUUACGGAACGAGUAAAGAGACUUGCCGGUAACGAGAUUGAACAAGGUAUCGGGAUACCGACGAUCGAAUCUCGGGCAAGUAGCAUACCGAUAGACAAAGGGAAUUGCAUACGGGAUUGAUUGAAUCCCCGACAUCGUGGUUCAUCCGAUGAGAUCAUCGUGGAACAUGUGGGAGCCAACAUGGGUAUCCAGAUCCCGCUGUUGGUUAUUGACCGGAGAACGUCUCGGUCAUGUCUGCAUGGUUCCCGAACCCGUAGGGUCUACACGCUUAAGGUUCGAUGACGCUAGGGUUAUAGGGAAAGCAUGUACGUGGUUACCAAAUGUUGUUCGGAGUCCCGGAUGAGAUCCCGGACGUCACGAGGAGUUCCGGAAUGGUCCGGAGGUAAAGAUUUAUAUAUGGAAAGUUGUUGUUCGGGUUCCGGGAAAAGUUCGGGUUUUUUUUCGGUAUUGUACCGGGAAGCUUCCAGAAGGUUCUGGAGGAUUCCGGAGGGGUCCAGAGGUCCGGAAAAUGUUCCACCAUGUCCAAUACAGCAGCAUGGGCUGUAAGGGGGCGCCCUAGCCUUAAUGGGCCAGGGGCACCAGCCCCCCCAAGGCCCAUGCGCAUGGGAGAGGGGAAACCCUAAGGGGGAGGGCCUCCACUUGACUUGGGAGGCACUCCUCCCCCCUUUGGCCGCCGCCCCCAACCCUAGAUGAGAUCUAAGGGGGCCGGCCCCCCUCUCCCCCCACCUAUAAAUAGUGGAGGGGUGGGAGGGCAGCCACCACCCAAGUUCUGGCGCAGCCCUUCCCCUCUCCCAAGUCCUCCUCCUCUCCCGCAGUGCUUGGCGAAGCCCUGCGGGAUUGCCACGCUCCACCACCACCACGCCGUCGUGCUGCUGCUGGACGGAGUCUUCCCCAACCUCUCCCUCUCUCCUUGCUGGAUCAAGGCGUGGGAGACGUCACCGGGCUGCACGUGUGUUGAACGCGGAGGCACCGUUCUUCGGUGCUUAGAUCAGAAUCAACCGCGAUCUGAAUCGCUACGAGUACGACUCCCUCAUCCGCGUUCUUGCAACGCUUCCGCAUCGCGAUCUACAAGGGUAUGUAGAUGCACUCUCCUUCCCCUCGUUGCUAGAUUACUCCAUAGAUUGAUCUUGGUGAUGCGUAGAAAAUUUUGAAUUUCUGCUACGUUCCCCAACAUUAUUUUCGAUCAGAGGGAGUAUAAUAUAGUUAAAUUUUAUCUGUGUAUGCAAACCCUGCCACACCUACAAAUUAAUCCUACCUCUGCCACAGAAUGUAGGGGUGGCCGUGGAGUUUCAGCUCUCGAGCUAAAAUGCACCCUCACGAACAAUGAAAUCAGGAAAAAUAGUAAACAAAAAUUCAUAAAAUUCUGAUUUUUUUUACAACAAACGUUGUUGAAUGUUCUGCAUACAUAAAUUUUUCAUGAAGAAAAAACUUCCUAGUGCUCUGGAAAAAAUCAAUGCUCCAAAAGACUAUUUUUUAAAGCAUAUUGAGUGUUCAUUUUGUUAUUUACCCUAGACCUCCAUGAAUGUGAUUUCAUCAUGGAAGUUUACACACGGGAAAAAAAAUCAAGCAAUUAAUGUUUGUUGUAAAAAAAACUCAGAUUUUUCUGAAUUUGUUUUCUAUUUUUUUUACUGUUCAUAGAGGAGCAUUUGUGCUCGGGGUUAGAAGGGCACUUUCAAGUCUAGGGUUUCUUCUUGGGCAUAUUUCAGAGUAUAAAAAUUGUAAUUUUGUAAGACAAAGUUCUUUCUAGACAAUUUGUUUCCCGCGUACAGUCUAUCAUGCAAAAAGCACCCAGAAAAAAAGUGCUUAUAUUCACAAGAGCUCUACCAUAUCCAUUUGAAAUGAUGCACAGGGUGGGGGGGGGCUGAUACUAACUAACACUUUAUAAGCUUUACCUGUUUUCGAAAUGUAACUACAGGUAUCAAGGGAAUUUCUAUGUUCAGAAACAGAUAGCCAAGAGAUGAGUGUUUCUUACACCUAUUUUUGUCGGUGCUUAUACUGUAUAUUCCUGGAUAUUCUUUCUAGAUCAUCCCUUCAACUUGCCCGUUAAUGACUACAAAGAUAUGAAAAUUUCCUUAUUUAUUUUGCCCCUUACAGAAAUGGAUUCUUUUAGGUGGAAAAUCAAGUAAUAUAUGGAAUAUUCGGGAGGAGCCACUCAAUGUCCAUACAACUGGGCGCGCACUAGAGGCAGCAGAAGAGAAGCCAAUGCAUUGUACGACCGCUACCGCUCGUACCACGCGUGAACACCUUCGCGACACCAUCGUAGGCAACUAUCGUGAAGGGGUAUGGGCCAAAUUCACACCAGAGAAGCCUCGAAACCCUACUCUUCCCCUCUGCACUAUACGAAGGAGAGGAAUAUUCGAUGGCUCACCUCUUCGCUUCACCCUUCGACAUAUCCAUCUUUGCAGUUGCCACAAAACUGUCAUCAACAUCACAUCUCCAUAGCCAUAACCAUCACCAUAGCCUCCAUCUCAUUAGAUUAAUUACUUGCAAUCAAGAUUCCAUCAUGAUCAAUCAUUGUAAUUCUAUCAAUCAUUCAUGUUGAAGUACAUUUGUAUACAAUGUCAUAUGCUUGUGAUUCGAUCAUGGUGGGUGCCCCCCGACUACGAGCCAAGGCAUAACUUCGCAGCCCCAUGUAUGUGCAAGAAAUGAUUGACAAUAUGAUUUUACUUUAUAUUUUUCUAUGGAAUUCUUUGUCUCUACCUCCCGAGACACUGAAUAUUGGCACAAGGAGAGGUAAAAGAGUAGGUGAGAGUGGAGGGCUAUGCCGAAAGCCGAUGACAGUAAGGUCAGUAUGGUAGCUGAAACCAAUUCCCCGGGGGAGACAAUGUUGUAGUCAUCAAAUGGUAAUGUGUUGGUCUAAUUUCUCCUUAAUAAUCGAGGUAACUCCAUGAGUCGGAUAGGACUAAGAUUGGACAAUCCAGUCCUUGACGCGCCGGUAGUCAGUCGUGUUGUCAAAAGGACACAUCGACCACUUAUCUGCCUUCACAACAUAUAUCUUAUUACUUAUCAAUGCAUUGUUGCUCUAUCUUAUUAAUUAUAAUCCCAAGUGUUGUAUACAUCUGCAAAAGAAACCUUAGCUUUGGCCUAUUUCUUUUAUUAUUAUAACCUUUAUGACAUUUAAUUGGUCUUGGGAACGAAAAUGCUUUGAGAUAACAAAGACUUGCAAAAAAUUUGUUGCCAAGCUUAAAAACUUCCUGGAUUUGAUAAAUACUAGGGUAUUAGGAAAGAAGGCUGUUACUACAUUCAAAAUCAUAUCAAAGGUAAUCACUGAGGACAUAAAUCUUCCAUGAACAAAAAUUCCUGGCGAGCUUGUGAAGAUAGAGGUAGAUGGGAAAGAUCCUGCAAGUAUUCAUGCUAAUUAAAGAACAUACAAAAAUGGUGGCAGCUAGUGGGUUCAAGUCUUCAAGGGCCUAGCUAGCUAUACGCGUCCUCCAAGGUAAAAAGUACUCCUACUAAUAAGUAGUAGAACAACGAAAGAGAAGGCGAGAAGGUUAAAAAACAUAAUACUAAAUGGAAUACCUGGGUAGAUGGUGACGGUCCGAUCGUGGUAGAUUGUCACAUCAGUGGUACCAUGGGUAACGACUGCUAAGAUAGUUGAUCCCAAUAUGCCAAAGUCAGCUACAAGGUUCCAGGUUAGACCGAAUCGCACAUGCAAAUGCACAUCCAGGAUCAGCGAUCUUAUUUUGAUCGGGGGAUGACUGGUCCCUGCAAAAUUAUGGAGUACCGUUAGGGAUGCAAAUGAUGAUUUGUGCAUUCCGUUUGUAAUCUCCUGUACCGUAGGAUGGCAACCAGAUGAAACAAGUCCCUGGCUUGUCACCACAAAGAUGCGGCCUAGAUGGCGCACGACGUCUUUGAACGUGUAGGGGUACAAAUCUGCCGCGGCCAACAUGCGCCAGCCUCUGCCGUUACUGCCUCUUGCAUUGAUGGCAAUCCUUAUGUCGAACACCGCGAUGAGAUAGUAAUCGUCGUAGCCGCGUCGCUUUAUCGGCGGGUCCGCAGUUGCUAUCUUCUUCAAUCUCAUGUAGGCAUCAUCAUACGUAUUCAAGCCCAGCCAGUCCGGAAGGCCGAUCCCAAUGGUUGAGAAGGGGUCUACGGGAACGGCCGCACUGCUGUGGAUGUUGUGCAAAAUGAUGGUGGUAUCCGGCCGGAGGUAUGCAAGCCAAUCUUCGUUGGCACCGACCCAGACCUAUAUAUAAGACGGUGGGCAGUGGAGAAAUUACGGGAUGGAAAUGUUAUAACUAAGUACUACAUGAUCAAACUCCAUGACUGACUUGCUCAUCGGACAAAAUCCGACUACCUCUCAACGUCGGCAACUCUAGCGGAGUCAACGUGCAACCAUGGCCAGGGAGCGGUGGACUGUUCGAAGGAUUGUCCCAUAGAAGAACCUUCUCCUCGAGGAUGCAUGGAAGACCAACAAGCAUGGCCUUUUCCCAAGCCUGUUUAAGCACCGUCUUGAAAAAGUUGGUGCAGGAAGCACCGAAUCUUGCGGCGGUGAGGAAGUCGGAGCGGCGUGCGAUUUCUCCCAGAGGAUCGUCGUCCAAGGUCUCCCAGCCCCGACGAGGAGGAGAUCCGCCUGGCGAAUCCAUGGGAGCAGCGACGAACUGCCUUCUCUUCGGGGGGAGGGGAACUGGCGAGGAGGAGAUAAGAGUGUAGUAACCGCAGGGCCUCGCCCCUUCCAACUGUAGCUCCUCGAUCGUUCCUUAGUGAAGGGGUGAGGCUAAUAUUUACUACGUACUCGUACUGUAGCAGUAGUAGUACUACUUUCUCAACUAGUAGUGCGAUGUACUGUACUUCUAUAGUGCACCAAUUUUGAACUCUUGAAUCUCAAGGCCAAGGAGCUACAAUUGCAAGUGGAGGGUACUACUGUUCUCUAGAACAAUCAUUGUACUAUCAAUGCAGAGAAAGUACACCUGCGUAGUGGGUACUCUCCGUGCUCUAUUCAAGCGCGUAGCUGGCCUACUCAGCCGCUCCUCUCAUGCACAGUUCCCAAUGCCGCGCCAGGCUUUUCCGGCUCCUCGGGCUUAAUUGGGAGGUGCUAGUUUAAAUAUGCUACUAGCUGACGAGGAAGCUGCAAGAGAGGUGUGGCUAGGGCGAGCACGCGAGCCAGGAGAUGAUGGGAAGGAAAACCCGUUCACGUGGCUGGGCUAUCCACUGCACCCAGAUUAUGGUGCGACACGUCCGUUCGACUUCAAAACUCAAACUACCCAUGUACAAUAUUGGCUCGCAGCAAAGUUACUAUUUUAAAAAAAGGCCGCCGUCUCGGCCGGGAUCGAACCCACAAAACGAGGUAUACACUUCCGCGACCACUAGUAGUACUCGUUGGAGUACAACGCAACCUAGAAUCGCCUUUUGUCACUAGUAGUACAUUGUUCCUUAUAAGAAACCACUAAUAAUGCCAAGAAACUACUACCACUUGCAUACGUGGCAGACUUAAGAUAAGACUACCUUAUUAACCAUUGUACAUGCCCUUACCAACCAACCCUACCAAGAAACGACUACUCUAAAAGUGCCGUUAUAGGCAUGUUUCAACCCAUGUCGCCCCUUAAAUCAACGCCUUCUAUUCGACUGGCAAGUUUGGCGUUAUGACUUGUGGGACCUACAUGUCAGUCUGCAAAAAAAUCCCCAAGUGACCUCCUACCUCCGGCCCGUCCACCUAGUCAUUCUCGGCCAUGGGACGCAGCUACCGCCGCCGGCAGAAGGCGAGGUCAAAACCGGCGGCGGUGCGGAGCCCAUCUUGCGGCAGCCCGGAUGCCAGCUCCGUCCGGCGCUCGCGGCCACUAGCUAGCCAAGAUUGCUCCGUACAGCUGCUUGUCUGCAAGGUUUGCUAGUUAGAUUGGCAUGGCGGCGCGGCGGCGCUAAGGCCAGCCAUUUGGCUCGAGCGAAGGCCAGCGCAGCGGCUUGCUCGCUCGUGAGUCACGCUCGGGCCAGCCUGCCAACCCGUGCGGAGGCCAGCGCGGCGUCCGGCCCGUCCGACGGAGCGGCGGCCAACUCGCUCAUCACUAGCGCCAUCGACGAACACACAUCUGUACUGUUUGAAAAUGUUCAGGAAAAAUAAUGAUUUGAAGGGGAAUAACAAGAUAGAAGGUCAGAUGUAGGUCCCUCGUGUCAACGGUCAAACAAAAUGUGUUGGUUUAAGCUGCCUCGUCAGCACAGACGUGUGGGCCAACCCUGUCAUAAACAGGUUUAAACGAGCCUAAUCGGCACUAGGUAGUAGUUUUUGGCGCGGAUUAAGAAAUUUUGGGUAUGUUUUUGCUAUUUUUGGUACAAUAGUUUCUUCCUAGGGCUGGUUGAAAGUGGUAGUUUUUUGUUAAAUACUCUACAUAUUGUAAGUAGGAGUGAAAGUUAAGCUUUGGAAGCCAAUAAGCAAGGCUAGUUACAUAGUGCAUAUGUGUAUGUGAUUGAAAGUAAAUAUCAACCAUGAGUGACUAAUAUCUUGAUGGAAGACUCGAAACUAUGGAAAUACUAGCAUUUUUCUUGCAUGGUUGGAAAUACUAGCAAUGUUCACGUGCGUUGCAACGGAUCAUAAUUAGAAUAAUACUUAUUCACAAACUUGAUACAAAACACUCUAAUUUUGAUAUACAUAUAUCACUAGAGAUAUAUUAUGUUUCAAUCAGAAUAUAUUCCUUGGGCUGUUUUGGUGAGGUGAGGGAGGGAUGUGGUUGGUUUUAAGAUACUAAUUAUGGGUUUUUCUGCAAAUUGGUAGAGAAGUGGGAUGUUGGUGAGAAAAGGCAACAACUUACCUCACAGUCGUUAGAUGUAGAUCUAACGGUUAGAAAUGACGGAUGGCAGACACACCAUCAUCACCAACUUAGUCUUCUGUAGGAGUACCAGCAAGAUGUCCGUGCAUUGCACGGAACAUCAAGAUGCAUUUUUUUAAUAAAACACUUGUUGUGAUUGACCCAUGCGGGAGUAAUCCCAUGUGUAAAAACUAAUGAUAUCCCGAGAAAUAGGAGAUAAGGUGAAGAGGAGUGGUGUGUGGUGGUGAUUGGUGGUCGGACUGAGCGGAGGCAUGGGCAUGGACGACGCCGGCAGCGGCCACCAGGCCAGUUUGUUCCAAAGGCUUCCUUUUUUAAUUGCUCAACAAUGAGGUUGUUGGAGAUAAGGAUGAACGAGGGAAGGCCUUGUGUUCAAGUGUGGAGAGAGGUGCGGGUAGCUUUUAGUUUAAUUUCCAUCCGUCAGAUAUAGAUCGGACGGUCUAUAUUGUAAGAUGGCACGCGUACCAUCAUCACUAAGUCGAUUUUUUAUAAGAGAAGAAAUAUAAGUAUGGAGAUACAAACGUAUUAUCGAUACUUGUUUCCGUAAACUAGGAUCUACAUUCUAUUCAACGCCUCAGCAUGUGGGGCCUUAGCACAAUGACUUCUCGACUAUGUAAAACAAUGGUUUUCCCGUCGCCGAUAAGGAGGGGGUGACGGCGGCGCGUUUUCGGCUUGCUCUAGUCCUAGUAGUUAUACUAGGUGGUCUACGCACGUGUAGAUUUAUCUUUUUCAUGUCUCAUGUUCGCCGUACUACCACGACUGUUGAUGAAUAGACGGUAAGUUAUUCAUGGGAAAACCCUUGUUGGGCGUGUUUGCGAGAGAGAGAGACAGUUUGCAUGUGUGAUAUGUCUAGAGACUGAGGCAAUGAUAAGAGAUUCUUUGUGUCUAUGUGUGUUGAGGAUAGAGAGAGACAUGUACAUGGGGCUUUGUGUUGUGUAACGUGGAGACACAUAGACAUAAUCAGAGAGUGAGUGUGUGAGAUACACAUGCGGACAUGGGGAUAGAUGAGGAUCCAGAUAAAUGGGUGUUUGUGCGUGUCUGUGUGUGUUUGUGUGCGCGUUUGUGUGUGAGAGGGAGUGUGUGUAUGUGGAGUAGAGAGACCACUAAUGAUGUAAACCUAGUAUAAGGGAAGGGGGAAUGGUGUGACAUGUGUGUCACAGAGAGACAAAGGCAUGUGUAGUAGCGGGAUAGCAUGGGUGCGGGCAGGGAGCAGAGACAUCGAGUGUGUGUGGGAGAGGGGUGUGAGAGCGAGCGAGAGAGAGAGAGAGGGAGAGAGCGACGGAGAGAGAGAGAGAGGAAGAGUGGGGGGGGGAGGGGUCAUUUGUGUCCAUAAAUGGCGUAUAGAUAGGGAGACAAUGUUGAUGUUGUUCGAAAUUGGCCUAUGUACGGAGACGCAAGGGAAGCGAGUCAUCGUGUGUGUGAUAGGGACUUCAUGAGAGAUCUAGAAUAGAUGGUGUAGAGAACAACGUGCGAGAUUGAGAACGAUGAUACAUUAGGGAGCUAUGGAAAGAGUCAUGGCAUAUAUGUAUACAUGGAAGGAGCUGGGGCGGGUCCGCAUGUGGGAGAGAUAGAAAGAGGAGAGUGAUGCACAAGGAGACAAAGUGUGUUUGUUUACAGUGGGGGUGGUGUGUGAGGUGAGUGUGCGAGAACCACAUAACUAGGGAGAUAGACGUUUGGGGGCGACGUUUUGUCUAUAUGGGAAAGAUACACUCUACAUAGUGCGUGUGCUUGGCAAAGAGAGAUGCCGGGAGACCUAGAGAGUGGGGGAAGAGAUGUGUGCAUGCUCGAGAGACAAGAUAGAGACCUAUAUUGGGGUCCGGACUUUAGAAGAGAGGGGGCGUUAAUAUGCUCGUGUGUUCUUGUCUGGGGGAGAGAACGACUUGUGUAAUUGAGAUAUAUAAGGUCAAUAGUGUGUGCACUCAUGGUUGAUCAAUUUGUUUCAUAGUUUGGACUAUGAGAUAACGAUACUUUUGAACAUGCGUGAUAUACCUUGAUGUACCAGAAUUACAAACCUACGAUUGGAAUUUUGGAAUUCGACUCCAUCAUUAGCUUUUGUAAUUCAUUUAAACGGAGGUACAUUUUUUGGGCCGGGAUUUCGUGAUUUCAAAUUCAUAUAUCAAACCUAGAGAUAUACACAUACAGGCAUGUUCAAACUUUAUAAUCAUCCACUUUACUCAUACACAUACACAUUUUUGCUUUAGUCAUCAUAUUUAGGAUAAACACAUUUGGAAUUUCAUUUGAAUUGGACCGUAUGAUGGUAUUUGCUUGUACUAGCUCAAUGAUCCAUAUUUGAAUUGAAUGGACAAUCUAAGUUUCGAGUUGGAGGCAUUGAUUUUCAAAACUUGCACUUUUUUUGCGUGCAAAACAAAUAAAUUCUCGGCCAUGAUAUCAUAGUCGGCCGUACAAGAGCAAAACACAUAUAAUUUCAGGCGCCAAAAGCUUUGAAACUUCCCGCUCACAUCGAAAUAUCUCGCGCCCGAAAGUUUAGCCCUGUGAUAUUCCUGUUUUACCCCUGCCACAUGAAUGGAAAGGGGCUGCUUUGGUAACUCCAUUGUUUUCCCCUCUUUGCCCCCAACAUUCUUCCCCAGAGCCCCUCCCCGACCCCCCAACCCCGGCAAGCUGCCGAAUCUAGUCCUCCUUCCGCAGCGGUGGACCUCACACCCAGCCGGAUCUACCUUCCGCACCUUGGAACCCCCAACUGCCAACUCACCACUUCACCGGAGCCGCUUCAGCGACUGGCUUGUCCACCGUUCCAGAUCUCCUUGACCGCCAUCAUGGUCCACCGCACCGGAUCUGCUUAACUGGCGCCCUCGUCCACCACAGUGUAGGCCCUUCACUGACUCCCUCAUCCGCCCAGCCCUCGUCCGCCGCAACAGAUCCGCCUCACCGAAAGCACUGUACACCGCGCCCGCUGAAGCCUUCGUCCACUGUACCGGACCCACUCCACGGACGCCAUAUUCAACUCCACCGGCCCUGCUUUACUGACGCCGCAGCUGUUGGGGAACGUAGUAAUUUAAAAAAAUUCCUACGCACACGCAAGAUCAUGGUGAUGCAUAGCAACGAGAGGGGAGAGUGUUGUCCACGUACCCUCGUAGACUGACAGCGGAAGCGUUAUCACAACGCGGUUGAUGUAGUCGUACGUCUUCACGAUCCGACCGAUCAAGUACCAAACGCACGGCACCUCCGAGUUCUACACACGUUCAGCUCGAUGACGUCCCUCGAACUCCGAUCCAGCCGAGUGUUGAGGGAGAGUUUCGUCAGCACGACGGCGUGGUGACGAUGAUGAUGUUCUACCGACGCAGGGCUUCGCCUAAGCUCCGCAAUGAUAUUAUCGAGGUGUAAUUUGGUGGAGGGGGGCACCGCACACGGCUAAAAGAUCUCAAGGAUCAAUUGUUGUGUCCAUGGGGUGCCCCCUGCCCCCGUAUAUAAAGGAGCAAGGGAGGAGGAGGCCGGCCCUAGGAGGGGGCGCACCAAGUGUGGAGUCCUACUAGGACUCCCUAGUCCUAGUAGGAUUCCACCUCCCAUAUGGAAUAGGAAAAGAGGAAGGGAAAAAGAGAAGGAAGGAAGGGGGCGCCCCCCUUCCCUAGUCCAAUUCGGACCAGACCAAGGGGAGGGGUGCGGCCACCCUUGAGGCCCUUUUUCUUCUUUCCCGUAUGGCCCAAUAAGGCCCAAUACGUAUUCCCGUAACUCUCCGGUACUCCGAAAAAUACCCGAAUCACUCGGAACCUUUCCAAAGUCCGUAUAUAGUCGUCCAAUAUAUCGAUCUUUACGUCUCGACCAUUUCGAGACUCCUCGUCAUGUCCCCGAUCUCAUCCGGGACUCCGAACUCCUUCGGUACAUCAACAUACAUAAACUCAUAAUAAAACUGUCAUCGUAGCUUUAAGCGUGCGGACCCUACGGGUUCGAGAACUAUGUAGACAUGACCGAGACACGUCUCCGGUCAAUAACCAAUAGCGGGACCUGGAUGCCCAUAUUGGCUCCCACAUAUUCUACGAAGAUCUUUAUCGGUCAGACCGCAUAACAACAUACGUUGUUCCCUUUGUCAUCAGUAUGUUACUUGCCCGAGAUUCGAUCGUCGGUAUCUCGAUACCUAGUUCAAUCUCGUUACCGGCAAGUCUCUUUACUCGUUCCGUAACACAUCAUCCCGCAACUAACUUAUUAGUCACAAUGCUUGCAAGGCUUAUAGUGAUGUUCAUUACCGAGUGGGCCCAGAGAUACCUCUCCGACAAUCGGAGUGACAAAUCCUAAUCUCGAAAUACGCCAACCCAACAAGUACCUUUGGAGACACCUGUAGAGCACCUUUAUAAUCACCCAUUUACGUUGUGACGUUUGGUAGCACACAAAGUGUUCCUCCGGUAAACGGGAGUUGCAUAAUCUCAUAGUCAGAGGAACAUGUAUAAGUCAUGAAGAAAGCAAUAGCAACAUACUAAACGAUCGGGUGCUAAGCUAACGGAAUGGGUCAAGUCAAUCACGUCAUUCUCCUAAUGAGGUGAUCUCGUUAAUCAAAUGACAACUUAUGUCUAUGGCUAGGAAACAUAACCAUCUUUGAUUAACGAGCUAGUCAAGUAGAGGCAUACUAGUGACACUCUGUUUGUCUAUGUAUUCACACAUGUAUUAUGUUUCCGGUUAAUACAAUUCUAGCAUGAAUAAUAAACAUUUAUCAUGAUAUAAGGAAAUAAAUAAUAACUUUAUUAUUGCCUCUAGGGCAUAUUUCCUUCAGUCUCCCAAAUAACACUUAUUAGUUUCAACACUAAUCCCGAAAGUACAGGGAGUGUGCGAUGAUGAUCAUAUCAAUCUUGGAACUACUUCCAACACACAUCGUCACCUUGCCUUUUACUAGUCUUUGUUUAUUCUGCAACUCCCGUUUUCGAGUUACUACUCUUUAGCAACUGAACCAGUAUCAAUUACCGAGGGGUUGCUAUAAACACUAGUAAAGUACACAUCAAUAAUCUGUAUAUCAAAUAUACCUUUGUUCACUUUUACUAGUCUCUGUUUAUUCUGCAACUCCCGUUUCGAGUUACUACUCUUAGCAACUGAACCAGUAUCAAUUACUGAGGGAUUGCUAUAAACACUAGUAAAGUACACAUCAAUAAUCUGUAUAUCAAAUAUACCUUUGUUCACUUUGCCAUCCUUCUUAUCCACCAAAUAGUUGGGGUAGUUCCGCUUCCAGUGACCAGUCCCUUUGCAGUAGAAGCACUUAGUCUCAGGCUUAGGACCAGACUUAGGCUUCUUCACUUGAGCAGCAACUUGCUUGCCGUUCUUUUUGAAGUUCCCCUUUUUCCCUUUGCCCUUUUCUUGAAACUAGCGGUCUCGUCAACCAUCAACACUUGAAGUGGUCUUGUCAACCAUCAACACUUGAUGUUUUUCUUGAUUUCUACCUUCGUCGAUUUCAGCAUCACGAAGAGCUCGGGAAUUACUUUCGUCAUCCCUUGCAUACCACAGUUCAUCACGAAGUUCUACUAACUUGGUGAUGGUGACUAGAGAAUUCUGUCAAUCACUAUUUUAUUUGGAAGAUAAACUCCCACUUGAUUCAAGCGAUUGUAGUACCCAGACAAUCUGAGCACAUGCUCACUAGUUGAGCGAUUCUCCUCCAUCUUUUUGCUAUAGAACUUGUUGGAGAUUUCAUAUCUCUCAACUCGGGUAUUUGCUUGAAAUAUUAACUUCAACUCCUGGAACAUCUCAUAUGGUCCAUGACGUUCAAAACGUCUUUGAAGUCCCGAUUCUAAGCCGUUAAGCAUGGUGCACUAAACUAUCAAGUAGUCAUCAUAUUGAGCUAGCCAAACGUUCAUAACGUCUGCAUCUGCUCCUGCAAUAGGUCUGUCACCUAGCGGUGCAUCAAGGAUAUAAUUUUUCUGUGCAGCAAUGAGGAUAAUCCUCAGAUCACGGAUCCAAUCCGCAUCUUUGCUACUAACAUCUUUCAACAUAAUUUUUCUCUAGGAACAAAAAAUAAACACAGGGAAGCAACAACGCGAGCUAUUGAUCUACAACAUAAUUUGCAAAAUACUAUCAGGACUAAGUUCAUGAUAAAUUUAAGUUUAAUUAAUCAUAUUACUUAAGAACUCCCACUUAGAUAGACAUCUCUCUAAUCAUCUAAGUGAUUACGUGAUCCAAAGCAACUAAACCAUGUCCGAUUAACACGUGAGAUGGAGUAGUUUCAAUGGUGAACAUCACUAUGUUGAUCAUAUCUACUAUAUGAUUCACGCUCGACCUUUCGGUCUCUGUGUUCCGAGGCCAUAUCUGUAUAUGCUAGGCUCGUCAAGUUUAACCUGAGUAUUCCGCAUGUGCAACUGUUUUGCACCCGUUGUAUUUGAAUGUAGAGCCUAUCACACCCGAUUAACACGUGGUGUCUCAGCACGAAGAACUUUUGCAACGGUGCAUACUCAGGGAGAACACUUUUAUCUUGAAAUUUUAGUGAGAGAUCAUCUUAUAAUGCUACCGUCAAUCAAAGCAAGAUAAGAUGCAUAAAGGAUUAACAUCACAUGCAAUCAAUAUAAGUGAUAUGAUAUGGCCAUCAUCAUCUUGUGCUUGUGAUCUCCAUCUCCGAAGCACCGUGCUUGUGAUCUCCAUCUCCGAAGCACCGUCAUGAUCACCAUCGUCACCGGCGCGACACCUUGAUCUCCAUCGUAGCAUCGUUGUCGUCUCGCCAACUUAUUGCUUUUACGACUAUCGCUACCGCUUAGUGAUAAAGUAAAACUAUUACAUGGCGAUUGCAUCUCAUACAAUAAAUUGACAACCAUAUGGCUCCUGCCAGUUGCCGAUAACUCGGUUACAAAACAUGAUCAUCUCAUACAACACAUUAUAUCACAUCAUGUCUUGACCAUAUCACAUCACAACAUGCCCUGCAAAAACAAGUUAGACGUCCUCUACUUUGUUGUUGCAAGGUUUACGUGGCUGCUACGGGCUUAGCAAGAACCGUUCUUACCUACGCAUCAAAACCACAACGAUAGUUUGUCAAGUUGGUGCUGUUUUAACCUUCGCAAGGACCGGGCGUAGCCACACUCGGUUCAACUAAAGUGAGAGAGACAGACACCCGCCAGUCACCUUUAAGCAACGAGUGCUCCGAACGGUGAAACCAGUCUCGCGUAAGCGUACGCGUAAUGUCGGUCCGGACCGCUUCAUCUCACAAUACCGCUGAACCAAAGUAUGACAUGCUGGUAAGUAGUAUGACUUAUAUCGCCCACAACUCACUUGUGUUCUACUCGUGCAUAGCAUCAACGCAUAAAACCAGGCUCGGAUGCCACUGUUGGGGAACGUAGUAAUUUAAAAAAAAUUCCUACGCACACACAAGAUCAUGGUGAUGCAUAGCAACGAGAGGGGAGAGUGUUGUCCACGUACCCUCGUAGACUGACAGCGGAAGCGUUAUCACAACGCGGUUGAUGUAGUCGUACGUCUUCACGAUCCGACCGAUCAAGUACCGAACGCACGGCACCUCCGAGUUCUACACACGUUCAGCUCGAUGACGUCCCUCGAACUCCGAUCCAGCCGAGUGUUGAGGGAGAGUUUCGUCAGCACGACGGCGUGGUGACGAUGAUGAUGUUCUACCGACGCAGGGCUUCGCCUAAGCUCCGCAAUGAUAUUAUCGAGGUGUAAUUUGGUGGAGGGGGGCACCGCACACGGCUAAAAGAUCUCAAGGAUCAAUUGUUGUGUCCAUGGGGUGCCCCCUGCCCCCGUAUAUAAAGGAGCAAGGGAGGAGGAGGCCGGCCCUAGGAGGGGGCGCACCAAGUGUGGAGUCCUACUAGGACUCCCUAGUCCUAGUAGGAUUCCACCUCCCAUAUGGAAUAGGAAAAGAGGAAGGGAAAAAGAGAAGGAAGGAAGGGGGCGCCCCCCUUCCCUAGUCCAAUUCGGACCAGACCAAGGGGAGGGGUGCGGCCACCCUUGAGGCCCUUUUUCUUCUUUCCCGUAUGGCCCAAUAAGGCCCAAUACGUAUUCCCGUAACUCUCCGGUACUCCGAAAAAUACCCGAAUCACUCGGAACCUUUCCGAAGUCCGAAUAUAGUCGUCCAAUAUAUCGAUCUUUACGUCUCGACCAUUUAGAGACUCCUCGUCAUGUCCCCGAUCUCAUCCGGGACUCCGAACUCCUUCGGUACAUCAACAUACAUAAACUCAUAAUAAAACUGUCAUCGUAGCUUCAAGCGUGCGGACCCUACGGGUUCGAGACCUAUGUAGACAUGACCGAGACACGUCUCCGGUCAAUAACCAAUAGCGGGACCUGGAUGCCCAUAUUGGCUCCCACAUAUUCUACGAAGAUCUUUAUCGGUCAGACCGCAUAACAACAUACGUUGUUCCCUUUGUCAUCAGUAUGUUACUUGCCCGAGAUUCGAUCGUCGGUAUCUCGAUACCUAGUUCAAUCUCGUUACCGGCAAGUCUCUUUACUCGUUCCGUAACACAUCAUCCCGCAACUAACUUAUUAGUCACAAUGCUUGCAAGGCUUAUAGUGAUGUGCAUUACCGAGUGGGCCUAGAGAUACCUCUCCGACAAUCGGAGUGACAAAUCCUAAUCUCGAAAUACGCCAACCCAACAAGUACCUUUGGAGACACCUGUAGAGCACCUUUAUAAUCACCCAUUUACGUUGUGACGUUUGGUAGCACACAAAGUGUUCCUCCGGUAAACGGGAGUUGCAUAAUCUCAUAGUCAGAGGAACAUGUAUAAGUCAUGAAGAAAGCAAUAGCAACAUACUAAACGAUCGGGUGCUAAGCUAACGGAAUGGGUCAAGUCAAUCACGUCAUUCUCCUAAUGAGGUGAUCUCGUUAAUCAAAUGACAACUUAUGUCUAUGGCUAGGAAACAUAACCAUCUUUGAUUAACGAGCUAGUCAAGUAGAGGCAUACUAGUGACACUCUGUUUGUCUAUGUAUUCACACAUGUAUUAUGUUUCCGGUUAAUACAAUUCUAGCAUGAAUAAUAAACAUUUAUCAUGAUAUAAGGAAAUAAAUAAUAACUUUAUUAUUGCCUCUAGGGCAUAUUUCCUUCAGCAGCCUCAUCAGGCUAUUUUGAUUUGUACUCCUUAGGUUUUUCUCUUCUUGAUCGUGCAACUGUUCACUUACCACAGAUGAGCUUUCUUGCAUGUCGACAGGCGCCGGAACCGAAGCACCGGAGCCGCUUGAGCGAGGGCGACAGCCGGCCCAAAUUCAAUCGCAACAUGAGCACCAUCGACGAUCCUUAGCUAUCAAGUAUGACAACGAUACCCAUACGCCACCGAGAAUCAGGUACUAUUAUCCAACGGCCAUCGCCUACUUUCACUUUCUUGGCAUAAGCACCGCACCUUUGAAUUUCUUCAGGACAUCAUUCAAUUUUUCAUGAGACGCGUUAUUCUGCUUGCCCCUGUAGGACCAUACUUCUGGCAGUGAACAUGUUACAUGCGCUAAAUUUCAUACCAGUGCACACAUAGUUAAUAUGCUUUAGUUUUGUCCUAAGUAUUACUGUACUUCCUAGAUAUCACUGCAUACUAUUUUACUUCUUGCAUGCUAUAUUUAUGAUAAUGGUGUUGUUCUGAUGCCACCUGUUGGUUCCACAUAAGAGAGGCUACCAAGGAUAGAAAACUAGGUUGUUGGAUCCCACACAUACCAAGCAUUUCAAUCAUACACACAAUAUGCUCGAUAUGUGUAAAUACAACAUGGUAUCACAACAAGACUCUACGACUCAAAGUAUUUAUUCAUUAGGCUCCGAGGAACCAAGUAUUACAAACAUGGGUCUCAUGACCCAACAUACAGAGCAUACAAGCAUCAAGCGGAAGCAUACACCUGCCUGAGUACAGACAACUACAAAUGAAAAAGGCUGAGAAGCCUGACUAUCUACAAGACCCUCCCAAGGUACAAGAUCGCAGCUGAGGUAACAAGCUAAACGUCGAAGUCCACGCGAAACUACUAGUGAGACUGACGUCUCUCUACAAAAAAAAAA